UCUUGUCCCGUCUCGUCCCACACUGUCCCAUCCCAUCCCACUGUGUCCCACCUCUCCCUCACCGCAUCACAAUGCCAGUGCUGCCCCAUCCCCUGUCCCUUCCCCAGGGAGAAGCAUCAAGCAGAGACUCAACCAGCCUCCGAAUACGCCGAGCAGGACGAGGAGCGCCUGAAACACGAGGCUGAGGGCAUCCCGCGGAGCAGCGAGCAUGAGCGCAAGAACCCGGUGGCCUUGUACAUCCUCAAGGACAAGGACUCACCAGAGGCGGAGGAGGAUUCACCACCUGAACCCCGCGGCACUGUUGAACCGGGUUACACGAGCUCGCCAGUACCGGCAGCCGGUCGCUCUCCGGGACCUGUGGGACGUUCGACUCGUCGUUACCAUCGCUCGCCAGCUCGCUCGCCUGCCUCGACGCGGACGCACAGGUCGCCUCCGGGAUCGCCAGCACGUUCCCGUGGCGCCCCGCGGCUGCUGCGGACUGCUGGUGUCCACAUCAUCCGGGAGCAGGAGGAGGCCAACGCUGUGGAGAUUAGUGCCUGAGCAGGGGGGACAUGUGCGCGCUUCAGCGGCGGUGAGCGAGCGGGGACACCAGCAUGGCCCCACUCCUGCCACCGGGCAUCAUUCAGCUCGGUGUAAAGUCACUAAUUUGCUAUUGAUCCCACCCAGAGCUCCCCUCUUCCAUCCCCUGUCUUCCUGGGGCGUCGCUUUAAUGGCUUUCUCGCCGCGAUGAGUGUGCGGGGACUGCACAGAAAGCACACGUGUGUGCUGGGAGCAUGUGGAAGAGAGCGUGUGUACAGCACGCGGAGAGAGCGUGCGAGGGGGCACGUACAGAGCAUGCAGAGAGAACACGCAUGCAGCACGCAGAGAGGGCACGCACAGAGCAUACAGAGAGAACGUGCGGGUGCUGCGCAGCGAGAGCACUUGCAGAGCAUGCAAGAGGGCAUGAAGGCAGUGUGCAGAGCAAGCAUGCAUGGAGAAUGCAAGAAAGCAUGCACGGAGGGUGCAGAUAGAGUGUGCAAAGGAAACAUGCACAGAGAGAAUGUGCAUGGAGUGUGCAAGAGGAUGUGUAUGGAACAUGCAGAGAGAUUGUGAGCACAGGGUGUGGAGUUAGCAUGCAGGAAGCUUGCAGAGAGCAUGCACAAAAUGUGUGGAGAGAGCAUGCAUGUGCAGAUGGAUCAUGCACUGAGUACGCAAGAAGAUGUGCAGAGGGCAUGUGGAUAGAGCACGCCUGGAGCAUGCAGAGAGCGUGCACAAAGGGUGCAAGAGGGCAUGCACAAGUCUGCAGAGAGAAACACAUGGAACGUGCAGGGAGAGAUUGCACAGAGCUUACAGCUAAGACUGCAUGGGUUGCAUGGAGAGCCUGCACGUAGAGAAUGUGGAGGGAGAGUGCAUGGAGCGUGCAGUGUGCAUGGAGUGUGAAGACACGACUGCACACAGCAUUUGCACAUGCAUGUGCCAGCAUUGGGAGCACCCUCCAAGCGUGCACGGAGCGUGCAGAGAGUCUGUGCAGAGUGCACACAGACCGUGCAGAGAGCACGUGUGGACAGAGCGUGCAUGCAGAGCACUCCGGGAGAGCAUGCACGGAGUGUGAGAAGAGAGCACACGUGAAGCUUGCAAGAGAGCACGCAGAGAGUGUGUGAAGCAAGCACGUGUGUGGUGCUCACACAGGGCACACAAGGAGCACGCGGUGAGCGUGCAAAGAGCCUCCGGAAGGAGCACACGUGUGGCGCUUGCAGAGGGCACGCUCAGGGUGCGUGGAAGGGCACGCAUGAAGCGUGCAGCAAAGAACGCGCCCAGAGCAUGCCAAGAGCACGCAGGGAGCACGCGUCGAGCACGCCGAGCGGGUGCCCGCCUGCCAGCGCCGUGCCCACCUGCCGCAGCACCCAGCCCCACGCACGCAGGCGUGCAGCGGUGGCCAUGUUCAUGUGUGAGCUUGCCCAAGCGCGCACACAUGCAGGUGGCCUAAAUGGGGGGUCCCUCCUCCCCGCAGCUCCCCGGCCCGAGCGCUGCCCUUCUGCCAUGCCUGGAUUUUCUGUGAAAAUCCCCCAUUUUCGGGGCGCACGCCGUUGCCUCUCCCCCAGGCCUUCCCAGGAAAUAGAUUUAGGAUGAAAACUGGAGAGCGGCUAGCCCAGCAAGCAGGGCCCUGGGGUACCCGGGGUGGGUGCCAGGGCACCCCAGGGUGCUCAGGGUGCGCUACUAACCAAUAAACUAAACGUACUACCUGGCC